CCAAAAUGGGGACCUGGUCUAAUACAUUGCAGUCGAGCGGACAGAUGGGAGCUUGCUCCCUGAUGUUAGCGGCGGACGGGUGAGUAACACGUGGGUAACCUGCCUGUAAGACUGGGAUAACUCCGGGAAACCGGGGCUAAUACCGGAUGGUUGUUUGAACCGCAUGGUUCAAACAUAAAAGGUGGCUUCGGCUACCACUUACAGAUGGACCCGCGGCGCAUUAGCUAGUUGGUGAGGUAAUGGCUCACCAAGGCAACGAUGCGUAGCCGACCUGAGAGGGUGAUCGGCCACACUGGGACUGAGACACGGCCCAGACUCCUACGGGAGGCAGCAGUAGGGAAUCUUCCGCAAUGGACGAAAGUCUGACGGAGCAACGCCGCGUGAGUGAUGAAGGUUUUCGGAUCGUAAAGCUCUGUUGUUAGGGAAGAACAAGUGCCGUUCGAAUAGGGCGGCACCUUGACGGUACCUAACCAGAAAGCCACGGCUAACUACGUGCCAGCAGCCGCGGUAAUACGUAGGUGGCAAGCGUUGUCCGGAAUUAUUGGGCGUAAAGGGCUCGCAGGCGGUUUCUUAAGUCUGAUGUGAAAGCCCCCGGCUCAACCGGGGAGGGUCAUUGGAAACUGGGGAACUUGAGUGCAGAAGAGGAGAGUGGAAUUCCACGUGUAGCGGUGAAAUGCGUAGAGAUGUGGAGGAACACCAGUGGCGAAGGCGACUCUCUGGUCUGUAACUGACGCUGAGGAGCGAAAGCGUGGGGAGCGAACAGGAUUAGAUACCCUGGUAGUCCACGCCGUAAACGAUGAGUGCUAAGUGUUAGGGGGUUUCCGCCCCUUAGUGCUGCAGCUAACGCAUUAAGCACUCCGCCUGGGGAGUACGGUCGCAAGACUGAAACUCAAAGGAAUUGACGGGGGCCCGCACAAGCGGUGGAGCAUGUGGUUUAUUCGAAGCAACGCGAAGAACCUUACCAGGUCUUGACAUCCUCUGACAAUCCUAGAGAUAGGACGUCCCCUUCGGGGGCAGAGUGACA
rnacentral:rRNA from 1 species